rnacentral:rRNA from 1 species
CUCCAAUAGCGUAUAUUAAAGUUGUUGCAGUUAAAAAGCUCGUAGUUGAAUUUCGGGAUCAAUACGUCGGUCGUGCUUUCGGGUACGUACUGGCGUCAUUGGUUUCUCCUUUCUGACGAACCAUGAUGUCAUUAAUUUGGUGUUAUGGGGAGUUAGGACUGUUACUUUGAAAAAAUUAGAGUGUUUAAAGCAGGCAUUAGCUUGAAUACAUUAGCAUGGAAUAAUGAAAUAGGACGUUCGAUCCUAUUUUGUUGGUUUCUAGGAUCAACGUAAUGAUUAAUAGGGAUAGUUGGGGGCAUUAGUAUUUAAUUGUCAGAGGUGAAAUUCUUGGAUUUAUUGAAGACUAACUACUGCGAAAGCAUUUGCCAAGGAUGUUUUCAUUAAUCAAGAACGAAAGUUAGGGGAUCGAAGACGAUCAGAUACCGUCGUAGUCUUAACCAUAAACUAUGCCGACUAGGGAUCGGAUGAUGUUAAUUUUUUAAUGACUCAUUC